UUGAGUUUCUGAGCUCGCCGAGCGGCGGUCUUUGGCCGACCACUCCGCAAGUUCAUCCUCGCCCCUCGGGGCGUCAUUUACUGUGAAAAAAUUAGAGUGUUUAAAGCAGGCUUUAGGCUUGAAUACAUUAGCAUGGAAUAAUGAGAUAGGACCAAGUCGUAUUUUGUUGGUUGCGCGAUUCGGUAAUGAUUAAUAGGGACAGUUGGGGGUAUUCAUAUUUAAUUGUCAGAGGUGAAAUUCUUAGAUUUAUUAAAGAUGAACUACUGCGAAAGCAUUUACCAAGGAUGCUUUCAUUAAUCAAGAACGAAAGUCAGGGGAUCGAAGAGGAUUAGAUACCCUCGUAGUCUUGACCAUAAACUAUGCCGACUCAGGAUUGGUACCCUUUUUUAACAGGGUGUCAGCACUGUAUGAAAAAUCAAAGUCUUUGGGUUCCAAGGGGAGUAUGGUCGCAAGGCUGAAACUUAGAGGAAUUGACGGAAGGGCACCACCAGGAGUGGAGCCUGCGGCUUAAUUUGACUCAACACGGGGAAACUUACCAGGUC
rnacentral:rRNA from 1 species